AUCCAACUGACGAGUCCCGAAUAGGGCGAAACACGCGUCCUGAAU
rfam:Schistosoma rodhaini strain Burundi genome assembly, scaffold: SROB_scaffold0002724